rnacentral:rRNA from 1 species
GACGUAGGGCGCGAGCGUUGUCCGGAUUUAUUGGGCGUAAAGAGCUCGUAGGCGGCUUGUCGCGUCGACUGUGAAAUCCCGCGGCUCAACCGCGGGUCUGCAGUCGAUACGGGCAGGCUAGAGUUCGGUAGGGGGAGACUGGAAUUCCUGGUGUAGCGGUGAAAUGCGCAGAUAUCAGGAGGAACACCGAUGGCGAAAGGCAGGUCUCUGGGCCGAUACUGACGUGAGGGAAGCGAAAGGCCGUGGGGGAGCGAACAGG